AGUCACUGACAUUAGAUACCCCCGUAGUCCCAGCCGUAAACAAUGUGCGUUAGGUGUGUCGGUAACCACGUGUUACUGAUGCGCCGAAGAGAAAUCGUGAAACGUACCACCUGGGAAGUACGGUCGCAAGGCUGAAACUUAAAGGAAUUGGCGGGGAGCACCACAACAGGUGGAGCCUGCGGUUUAAUUGGAUUCAACGCCGGACAUCUCACCGGAUAAGACAGCUGAAUGAUUGUCAAUCUGAAGGUUUUACAUGACUAGCUG
rnacentral:rRNA from 1 species